rnacentral:lncRNA from 10 species
GUGGUAGCUCUCCUUUGCAAAUUGUACUUUUUAAUGUGUCGUUGAGUUUGCUAAAGCAGGUUGCCCUGUGAGUAGAGUACAAGGCUGGUCGUCAGGCGGGGAGAGUGACAAUGUUUUGAAAUUGUUGAAUUUCCUGAGCAUGCACCAGGCUCAGUGUCUUGGAGCAGUGCGGGAAGGCUGGUGUUGCGGCGGCCUGAAGAAGCACAGCUGCAGAUGCUAACGCAGGCCUGGUGAGCAGGAAGCCGGGGCGUGGCUCAGGCGGAGGGGAGAGGCCGGGGCAGGUCUGGCCCGGCCAUGGGGGCCGGGCUCUGAGCUGGAGAGCAAGGUGUGGUUUCAGAGGGAGCUGGGGACGGAAGCCUGAAUGAAGUGGACUCAGCAGAGAUGGGAGGUGAGGCCGUGCCCUGCUGAGGUGGGAGGUGAGGCCGUGCCCUGCUAAGGUAGGAGGUGAGGCCGUGCCCUGCAGAGAUGGGAGGCGAGGCCGUGCCCUGCUGAGAUGGGAGGUGAGGCCGUGCCCUGCAGAGAUGGGAGGUGAGGCCGUGCCCUGCUGAGAUGGGAGGUGAGGCCGUGCCCUGCUGAGAUGGGAGGUGAGGCCGUGCCCUGCUGAGGUGGGAGGUGAGGCCGUGCCCUGCUGAGGUGGGAGGUGAGGCCGUGCCCUGCCGAGGGCUUCGUUAUACAGGGAGGAUAACUGGAGGGAAUGUGAGGUCAGUGGAGGGUGUUAGUAUUUUACAUGGGAAAUAAUAGAUACUGAAAAGGGAAGAAAUUAUAUGCAAGAGAGAGGGAUUAAUUAUAGAAACCAAGACCUUGAGUCAGUGACAGGGUAGGGGAACCAGGGCAGCAGCAGAGGGUCGCUGGGCAGCGGGGGUCGCUCAUCAGCUGGAGGGGUCCAUGGAGCGACACCUGCCCCCACCUCACAGCUGGAGGGGUCCAUGGAGCCGACACCUGCCCCCACCUCACAGCUGGAGGGGUCCAUGGAGCCGACACCUGCCCCCACCUCACAGCUGGAGGGGUCCAUGGAGCCGACACCUGCCCCCCGCCUCACAGCUGGAGGGGACCAUGGGGCGACACCUGCCCCCACCUCACAGCUGGAGGGGACCAUGGGGCGACACCUGCCCCCACCUCACAGCUGGAGGGGACCGUGAAGCCAACACCUGCCCCCCGCCUCACAGCUGGAGGGGACCAUGGAGCUGACACCUGCCCCCACCUCACAGCUGGAGGGGACCACAGGGUGGACACCCCCCCACCUCAUAGGCCCGUUGGACGAUCACGUGUGGAAUAAUGCAAUGUGUUUGGGUUCGUGCCUGGCACAUCGUAAGUGUGAAUUAGUACUGUGUGGCUUUACUCUUUGGUUUUCUGAACAUUUUUAUUCUUGAAUAGAAUUCGGGCUUUAUCUUUGCCUGUAGCCAGAAGGCCUAUCUGACUACUUUUCCCUAGACCAAAACAACAAAAAACUACACUCCCAUGACAUCUCUCCAAACGGGAUUCUCUGUAAGUAGAAAAAGAUGACUGAGUUUGAAAAUACCAGUCGCUCCCCGGUUCUCAUUAUCAUAUUGUCAGAAGCAUCCUGUGACACCCACAAAGUUUAGCACGUAAUCCCAUGCACGGCAAGCCCAAAGCUGGCGGGCUGGGGCGGCCCGUGGUAGAGAAAGCUGUCACCUUUGGGAUUCCGCAGACAGCAGCCUUGGUGCCACUGGGGUAGAAGCAUCCGCGUCUCCGGCAUUCGGUGUCAGCAUCUACAGUUAGACCUUCCCAUCCUUAUGGGCUGGGCCCCUCUGCUGUCCUCGAGCUGCAUCCAACACCGGGGAAAUGAGUCCUGACGACCGAGGGACGUCACCAAGAGUGUCACCACCCACACCGAGCAGCCACAGGCUCCAUGUCCAGCCCCUCCUUCCCCCGGGAGGGUGAGCCCAGGAGGUGAGAGCAGAGAUCGGGGCCUGGAGGUGCGGCCUGGGAAGCCUGUUGUGGGUGCCGCCUCCCUGAGCCACAACCUGUCCUGGGGAUCGGUGGACGCUCCGUGGCUCUGCAGAGCUGCUUGUACCACCCUUGCUGGAGGAGGAGGUUCUCGCAGUUUGCUUCCGUUUGUGGAUGAGAGACAGGUGGGUUGGUUGGUUCUUCCCAUCAUGGCAUCACAGCCAUUCCACGGGAGGUGAUGGCAGCUGAUUGUUCUGAGUCUCUGCUAAGUGGAAUCACCCCAAGACCUCGAGUGCAUGGACCCACUGGGCUCUGGGCCCCGCAGAGACGUGCCCAGGCCUGGAUGUGCUGACUGCUGGGCUGUCCCACACAGCUGGAGCCAGGAGCCCACAGUGGGCAGCAGGACCUUGACUUCAGGCGGGCAGAGCCGGGCAUCUCCUGUCUCCUCCCUGCCCUGGCUGGGAUAGGUUUUUAGGAGUAACUUUGCUAGAGGGAAGAUUCUGAGACAUCUGCGAUCCUGAGCUGCUCCGGUGGGCACCUGCCAGAAGACAGGAGCCCAGGCUGCAGGAGUCGCUGGUGGAGGAGGGGUGAGGCGGCGCCCCUGCCUCUGUGGUUCUGCAUGGGGCAGGGCCCCUGCUGCUCCGGGCGGGGAAAGAAGGAUGUGCCAUGUUCACCUUGAUAUUUGGGUUUUUGAAGAAAACCUGUAAAAGCUGUAAAACCCGAACCAUGAGGACACCCCAGGGGCACACAGUUCUGGAGGCUGAAAAUCAAGAUCAGGAUGCUGGCGUCUGACAAGGGCUUUCUUGCUGCAUCCUCACGUGGCGGAAAGUGGAAGGGCAAGAGAGAGCGAACCCAUCCUGAAAACCCCAGAUUACAGAGGCACUAAUCCAUUUAUGUGGGUGGAGCUCCCAUGACCCAAACACCUCCAAAGGCCCCACCUCCUGACAAUGUUGCACUGGGGAUUACAUUUCCAACACAUGAAUCUGGGGAGACAGAUUCAGACCACAGCAGAUGUCAAGGCUGGUUCAAAGGACAAUGUGAAGAACAAAGGCAUGCUGAAAUGAAUUUGAUAAUAGAUGCAAACUUGGGUAACAUCCUACAGGACAAUAAGGUGUAAGUAAUACUUGGGAUCAUCUUUCCUUAGACAUGAGCAUCAGUUGCAUCUACAGUGAACAACACUGAUUACAUUGCCAUAGAGGAAGCUUUGUGUUGCUCUCAGAUAAGAAGCAUGCACACUGCUGUAUUCUCUACAUGAACUUCUAUUCUACAGUUGUAAAAUAGUUCAGUCAAUAGAAAGCCAACCACAGAGACACACCUAGUGGUUUGUUUUUGCCUAUUUUUAAGUUUUUAAUAUUUUUUAUAACAGAUAUAACAUUGAAUCCAUAGUGAAGUUAAUCACUUUUUAAUUACCCAUUUUUCUAAUAAUUAAAUCAACAAGGGAGUCUCCUUUGGGUACCAAUCAAUCUCUAACCUUUCUAAACUUCUUGUUUGAAAAAGAGAAAGGCAGAAGUGGGCCUCAAGCAUGACGCCUUCAACUGACUGUACAAGCUAGCUGCAGUUUGAUGAUACUGUUGAAUUUUCUUUAUUAUAUUGUUACCUUUUAUUAAUGGCAAUGGAUAUAUUAGUUUUCCAUUUUUGGUUGAGAUAUGAGGCUUCCUUUAAAACAUAUUUAAGUAAAAAAGAAAAGUGAGUCAAUGUGUUUAAUUAAACAGCCAAAAGUAUUCAAAUGAUGAAUGAUAUAGAUGGGAUGAAUAGAAAGUCAUAGAAAAUUUAUGGUGAUCACUGAAGGUUGAGAAAAACCCAAUCUGAUGAGCACUCUGCUCCAUGUCAGGUCCUGCCUGUUGUGCUUGUCUCCCAGACUGUCUUUUAACUCUCACCUUCUUACAAAUAGUUGAAUCUUAAUAGCUAUUAUUACCUUACAUUUAACAAAAUAGGCAUAUGCAUAUUUUUUCAUUUUCUCCCUCUCCACUAAGGAAAACUUCAGAGAGAGAAAGAAUUUCUCCAGGGUCAAGCAUCCAGCUGAGCAUUCCAGUAGAGAAUGGCAGUGCUGGAAUCCCCCGCUGUUGUCCGGCUUCAAGACUCUUUUGCACUGUCUCCCAGCCCUGCUCCCAUGGGAGUUGUGGAGAAUUCCCAGGGUGAAGAAAGAACCUGGGGAUAGAGCCUCCUUUUUUCAUUUUUUCUUUCUUUUUUUUUUUUUUUUUGCGAUGGUCUUGCUCUGUCACCCAGGCUUGGAGUGCAGUGGUGUGAUCUUGGCUCACUGCAGCCUCAAUCUCCCAGGUUCAAGUGAUCCUUCCUCCUCAGUCUCCAGAGUAGCUGGGACUACAGGUAUGCACCACCAUGCCUGGCUAAUUUUUGUGUUUUUAGUAGAGAUGGGCUUUCAUCAUGUUGGCCAGACUGGUCUCAAACUCCUGACCUCAGGUGAUCCACCUGCCUCAGCCUCCCGAAGUGCUGGGAUUAUAGGCAUGAGCCACUGUGCCCGGCCUCAUUUUUCUUUUCCUUUUUACAGAAAUGGAAAUCACAUGGUAGGUCAUAAGGAGCUGACAGGGCUGGAGUUCCAGUGAGUAUCUGCCCCGGCAGUGCGGCAGCAGACGGGAAGGGUGGGAGGUCAUCUGAGCUGGUAGGGUGAGAACAAAUAUAAAUCUCAGGGGGGAUCCACAAGGGAGCCCAUGUCUUUGGUGCCACACAAAUGCAGUAAGAGCUGUGGACACCAGGGAAUACCAGGGAGUGUUUAAAAGCCCCACAGGCAGAACACACGCAGAGAAAGCAGGAGACUAGGCACUGUGGGUUCUUGGGAAAGAGCUGAUUUUAGUUGCAAAAGCAGAGGAAACCCCAGACAUUGCAUGGCUUUAGGCUUUAGGCUUUAGCCCCACCACCCUCACAAGUCUUCUGUCUCCAGGGGGCCAUCAGUGCCUCAGUUCCACUCGGUGCAGACCCCAGGGUUCUUCCCACCCCUGCAAGCCACCCAUCAGGGUGAACUGAGAGAUCAGCAGAGUCACUUACAACGAAGGGGAAUUGUUCUGGGCAUUGGUUAGUAAACAGGAGAGCAAAAGGGGAGAAGAAAAUUGUGUACAGGCGUUGAGCAUCUCUAGCCGAAGAAGGUGAGGCAUAGAGGUGUCUUACCACCAGGAACAGAUCUGAGUCAUGCAGCACCAAAAUACGUAUUUGAGUCAUGGCAUCAAAACGUUCCUGGUGGUGAAUUCAUGUCCGUGCGGGUCUGCAGCAAUCUCAAUUCUUGCCUCCUCAGAAGAAAGAAUUCGACUGAGGGGCAUGAGGCAGAAAGAGAGAUCGGAGCCAGUUUCAGAACAGGAGUGAAAGUUUAUUAAAAGGCUUUAGAACAUGAAUGAAAGGAAGGAAAGGAUACUUGGAGAAGGACCAAGCAGGCAUCUUGAAAGGCAAGUGCUUUUUUUUUUUUUUUUCAUUUUUUAACCCCUUCCUAAUGUCACUGGAAUAAGAGGCCUGUCCCAGACCCCAAGAGCGGGUUCUUGGAUGUUGGAUGAGGAACAAUUCCAGGUGAGUGGCAGAGUAUAGUAAAGUUAAAAUCGUUUAUCAGAGACCACUCGGUUACAGAGUAGGAUGUCCUCCAAAAGCAAGAGAAGGAACGCGCACACCUUAAAUACGAUUCUUAUUUAUAUAGGUUAACAGAGCUAAGAAGAGAGGUCUUUUGUGCUUUAUUACAGAGGCUGGUGAUCAGCUUCUGACAGGCUAUUAGUAUUAUUUUCCUAUGUUACUACUGAUUUCAGCAAGGAUUUACGAAUGUACUAUUAACCUUAAAUCAAAACCUACUCUUAAACUAAGAAUGCUUUUUGUUCUUAAAAUAUUAAGAGAUUGCCAUAAAAUUCUGCGUCUUUAUUUAGUUAGCAUCAUUAACUUGUUCCCUCAACCAUAAACAUCUUGUGCCCAAGAGUGCCUACCCCCUGGGGGUGUAACCCUGCAGGCAUGGCUAUAUCCCACAUUUAUUAAAG